UCACCAUAUGAAUUGGGGUGUAUCU
rnacentral:piRNA from 1 species